CAUGCAAGUCGUACGAGAGUUUUUAACUCAAGUGGCGGACGGGUGAGUAACACGUAAGAAUUUACCUUUAGGAGGGGGACAACAAUUGGAAACGAUUGCUAAUACCCCAUAUGCUUUCGAGUGAAAUGGAAUUUUCCGCCUGGAGAGAAGCUUGCGGCUGAUUAGCUUGUUGGUAAGGUAAUGGCUUACCAAGGCGACGAUCAGUAUCUGGUUUGAGAGGACGAUCAGACACACUGGAACUGAGACACGGUCCAGACUCCUACGGGAGGCAGCAGUGGGGAAUUUUCCGCAAUGGGCGAAAGCCUGACGGAGCAAUACCGCGUGAGGGAUGACGGCCUAUGGGUUGUAAACCUCUUUUUUCAGGGAGGAAUCAAUGACGUGUACCUGAAGAAUAAGCAUCGGCUAACUCCGUGCCAGCAGCCGCGGUAAGACGGAGGAUGCAAGUGUUAUCCGGAAUCACUGGGCGUAAAGCGUCUGUAGGUGGUCUAAUAAGUCAACUGUUAAAUCUUGAGGCUCAACUUCAAAAUCGCAGUCGAAACUAUUAGACUAGAGUAUAGUAGGGGUAAAGGGAAUUUCCAGUGGAGCGGUGAAAUGCGUAGA
rnacentral:rRNA from 1 species